UUCGUAGGGUGCGAGCGUUAAUCGGAAUUACUGGGCGUAAAGUGUGCGCAGGCGGCCGGGCAAGUCGAGUGUGAAAGCCCCGAGCUUAACUUGGGAACUGCGCUCGAAACUACUUGGCUAGAGUGUGGCAGAGGGAGGUGGAAUUCCACGUGUAGCGGUGAAAUGCGUAGAGAUGUGGAGGAACACCGAUGGCGAAGGCAGCCUCCUGGGCCAACACUGACGCUCAUGCACGAAAGCGUGGGGAGCAAACAGG
rnacentral:rRNA from 1 species